CAUUAUUCUCCCAAAGCAUUCAAUCUCGACAGUUUUUCAGAGGAAAAAAAAAAACUUCUCUCAUCUUUCUCUCUUCUUUGUUUCUCUUUUCUUUGAAAAAUUCUAUCAAUCGACUCUUCUAGAUUUUUGAAGAAACAGCAAAUACGCCAACAUACUCAGAUUAGUUUUCUCUAAUCGUUUAAUUAAUUUCCCUUUAAAACCAAUUCGACUGGUUGGGAUUUCUCGCUCGGUACGUCAUCUCGGUCUAUGUUAGGGUUUCUUGUAAAUCCUUCGUAUGUCGCGAUUGUUUUUUAGGGUUUUCAAUAUUCCUAAUUGUUCAAAGCGUAACUGUUGCAGUAAUCUUGAAUACGUUAAGAAUCUGUGUUUAAUUGGGUUUCCAGUUUUCGUUAGGGUGAGUUUUUGAAAUUUUCUGUACUUUUUACAAAAAAACUUGUUUGAUGCUGAGGAUCAUUAGUGGUUCUGUUACUAAUCUGAUAUGCAAUAAUUUCUGAUCAUUGGAAGGAAGCAACAGAGAUUUUCUAUGUACGCCGAUCACAUUCUCAGUCGCUGCUCUGAUUCCGGUGGUGGUGUGGUCAAGGUUUUGUUGUGAACCUUGCAAGUGAUGGAGCAUUUGGUGGGCUACCAUUGAUCACAAAAUGAAGGAGAUGAAUGAUUAGGUGGAGGAUCAAGAUCACCAGUCUGGGUUAGAAAAGAUAUAGCAGAUCAGUGUGGAAAAGGAAGUGACUUUGGUUGGGCUUUCUUAUUCCGGCUGUGCUCUGAAGCUUGACUCCGCGUGAAACGUCUUUAAGAAUCUUUUUUGGAAACAUUGUCCCCUGCUGCCUCUCGAAACAUAUGCCAUCACCCUAACAAGAUUCUAUGGGUUGGUAGUGCAUGUCAAAAUAAAGAUGUUAGGGGAUGGUAAAUAAAGACCAUACGGCUUAAUAGUCUUAACACAAGACUUUACUACCCGCGGCUUUCUAUAAUCUGUUUUCGAUUAUAAAUAUGGAUGGAUUAUAAUGACCAACAAAGUCUUGAGACAAAAGACUAUAAAUCGAAAACAGAUUCAUUACUCUAUACCCACGGCUUAUAAGUCUUUAGAGCAAGACAGUGACAUGUCGGUUAAGAAUGGACAAUGUUCUUAGACAAAGACUAAUGAGAACCAUUGGAUGGGAAAAUUACUACAACCCUUAGGCUUACAGAAAUAAUAAGCAAAAGACUUUUAAGACAGGUCAGUUUAAAAGGAUGGGUGGGACAUGUCCUAAGACCAUAAGGCUUAAUAGUCUUAACACAGAAGACUAUAAUCUGUUUUCGAUUGUAAAGAUGGAUGGAUUAUAACGACCAACAAAGUCUUAAGACAAAAGACUAUAAAUCGAAAACAGAGUUUUCUUUCUCUUCUUUACCCACGGCUUGCAAGUCUUUAGAGAAAGAUAGAGACAAAAACUUUUUAAGACGUCUCGGUUAUGAAUGGACAAUGUCCUUAGACAAAGGCAUUAGCAAAAGACAUUUAAGACAGGUCAGUUUAAAAGGAUGGGACAUGUCCUAAGACCAUACUAGUCUAAACACAAGACUUCUUCAACCCACGGCUUUCUAUAAUCUGUUUUCGAUUACAAAGAUGGAUGGAUUAUAACGACCAACAGUCUUAAGACAAAAGACUAUAAACCAAAAACAGAUUCUUUACUCUAUACCCACGACUUACAUUUCUGUAAAGAAAGACAGGGACAAAAACUUUUGAAGACAUGCCGGUUAUGAAUGGACAAUGUCCUUAGACAGAGGCUAUCGAGAACCAUUUAGAUGGAAAAAAACUACUACAACCCUCGGCUUACAGAAGUCAUUAGUAAAAGACUUUUAAGACAGGUCAGUUUACAAGGAUGGGACAUAUCCUAAGACUAGAAGGCUUAAUGGCCUUAACACAAAAGACUAUAAUCUGUUUUCGAUAAUAAAGAUGGAUGGAUUAUAACGACCAACAAAUUCUUAAGACAAAAGACUAUAAAUCGAAAACAGACUAUUUACACUAUUACCCAUGGCUUACAAGUCCUUAGAGAAAGACAGAGACAAAAACUUUUAAGACAUGUCGGUUAUGAAUGGGAAAUGUCCUUAGACAAAGGCUAUGAAUGGUGAACAAGAACCAUUUGGAUGGGAAAAAAUUACAACAGCCUCAGCUUAUAGAAGUCAUUAGCAAGACUUUUAAGACAGGUCAGUUUAUGGAUUGGACAUGUCAACACAAUACUUUACUACUCUUAAAGACAGGUCCGUUUACAAGAGAUAAAGAAUGGGACAUUUCCUGCUCGUAACACAAUACUUGACUACUCCUAAGACAGGUCCGUUUAAAAGACUUAAGGAUGGGACAUGUCCUACUCUUAACACAAUAAUUGAAGACAUGUCGGUUAUGAAUGGUGAACGAGAACCAUUUGGAUGGAAAAAUUACAACAACUCUCUUCUUACAGAAGUCACUAGGCAAAUACUUUUCAGACAGGUUAGUUUAAAGACUUAAGGAUGGGAAAACACAAUACUCUACUAGUCUUAAGACAGGUCUGUUUAAAAGACAUAAGGAUGGGACAUGUCCUACUCCUAAACACAAUACUUAACUACCCACAGGUUUCCGCAAUAUGUUUUCAAUUAUUAAAGAUUGAUGGAGUUUAACGACCCACAAAGUCUUAAAGAGAAAAGACUACAAAUCGAAAACAGACUCCUUAUUCUUUACCCAUGGCUUACAAGUCUUUCGAGAAAAAGACAAAAACGUAUAAGAUAUGUGGUUAAAAUGACUUAUAAAUGGAAAAUUCCUUAGACAAAGGCUUUGGAUAGUGAACGAGAACCAUUUGAAUGGCAAAAUUACAACAAACCCUCGGCUUACAAAAGUCAUUAGCUAAAAACUUUUAGGACAGGUCGGUUUAAAAGACUAAGGAUGGAAAAUAUCCUAAGAUCAUACGGCUUAAUAGUCUAAACACAAGACUUUACUUGGUACCCACGGCUUUCUAUAAUCUGUUUUCGAUUUAAAAGAUGGAUAUGGAGUAUAACUGUUUAACAUUGUCUUAAGACAAAAGACUACAAAUCGAAAACAGAUCCCUUACUCUUAACCCACGGCUUACAAGUCUUUAGAGAAAGACAAAGACAAAAACAAAUACUUUUAAGACAAAAGACGACUAACCGAAAACAAAGUCCUUAAAUUUUACCCACGGCUCAAUAGUCUUAACACAAGACUUUACUACCCACGGCUUUCUAUAAUAUGUGUUCGAUUAUAACGACCAAUAAAUUCUUAAGACUAAAGACUAGAAAUCAAAAACAAUUCCUUACUCUUCUUUAAGCACUGCUAAUUUCUUAAGACAUGUCAGUUAUGAAUGGUGGAACGAGAACCAUUUGGAUGGGAAAAAUUACAACAACUCUCGGUUUAUAAAAGUCAUAAGCAAAGGACUUUUAAGACAAGUCAGCUUAAAAGACGUAAGGAUGUGACAUGUCCUAUUCUUAACACAAUACUUUACUACUCUUA